UACGGGGGGGGCAAGCGUUGUUCGGAAUUACUGGGCGUAAAGGGCUCGUAGGCGGCCAACUAAGUCGGAUGUGAAAUCCCCAGGCUCAACCUGGGAACUGCAUCCGAUACUGGAUGGCUUGAAUCCGGGAGAGGGAUGCAGAAUUCCAGGUGUAGCGGUGAAAUGCGCAGAUAUCAGGAGGAACACCGAUGGCGAAGGCAGAUCUCUGGGCCGUAACUGACGCUGAGGAGCGAAAGCAUGGGGAGCGAACAGG
rnacentral:rRNA from 1 species